GAUGAACGCUGGCGGCGUGCUUAACACAUGCAAGUCGAACGAUGAAGCCCAGCUUGCUGGGUGGAUUAGUGGCGAACGGGUGAGUAACACGUGAGUAACCUGCCCUUAACUCUGGGAUAAGCCUGGGAAACUGGGUCUAAUACCGGAUAGGAGCGCCUACCGCAUGGUGGGUGUUGGAAAGAUUUAUCGGUUUUGGAUGGACUCGCGGCCUAUCAGCUUGUUGGUGAGGUAAUGGCUCACCAAGGCGACGACGGGUAGCCGGCCUGAGAAGGUGACCGGCCACACUGGGACUGAGACACGGCCCAGACUCCUACGGGAGGCAGCAGUGGGGAAUAUUGCACAAUGGGCGAAAGCCUGAUGCAGCGACGCCGCGUGAGGGAUGACGGCCUUCGGGUUGUAAACCUCUUUCAGUAGGGAAGAAGCGAAAGUGACGGUACCUGCAGAAGAAGCACCGGCUAACUACGUG
rnacentral:rRNA from 1 species